GGGUGAGUCGGGUCCUAAGGCGAGGCCGACAGGCGUAGUCGAAUGGAUGAACGGGCUGAUAUUCCCGUACCGGCAGCGAACCGAAACAACCGAGGCCUGGGGCGCUAACCUCCGGGUCCGUGCCGUCUCCCCUUUCGGGGGGUCGCGGCGCGGGCGCGUUGGGAUCCCCCCUCGUAGUAGGUCAGCGCAGGAGUGACGCAUCAGGGCAGCCGGCCGCGGAGGUGGUUUUCCGUGGUCAAGCGUUCGAGCCCGUCCCGCAGGCAAAUCCGCGGGGCGUCGGGGCGAGGCGUGAUGAUGGGGGCCUUACGGCCCGAAUCCGGUGAUCCGUGGUGCCGAGAAAAGCUUCGGCGUCAGGCGCGUUGCCGCCCGUACCCCAAACCGACACUGGUGGUCAGGUAGAGAAUACCAAAGCGAUCGAGCGAAUCCUGGUCAAGGAACUCGGCAAAUUGCUCCCGUGCCUUCGGCAUAAGGGAGACCCCCUGCGGUGAUGAGCGGCGGGGGGUGGCACAGGCCAGGGGGUAGCGACUGUUUACCAAAAACACAGGAGCGUGCGAAGGCGCAAGCCGCUGUAUACGCUCUGACGCCUGCCCGGUGCCGGAAGGUUAAGAGGAUCCGUCAGCUUUCUGCGAAGCGGUGAAUUCAAGCCCCGGUAAACGGCGGUGGUAACUAUAACCAUCCUAAGGUAGCGAAAUUCCUUGUCGGGUAAGUUCCGACCUGCACGAAUGGCGUAACGACUUCCCCACUGUCUCGACCAGGAGCUCGGCGAAAUUGCAGUACGAGUAAAGAUGCUCGUUAAGCGCAGAAGGACGAAAAGACCCCGGGACCUUUACUAUACCUUGGUAUUGGCAUUAGGCGCGGAUUGUGUAGCAUAGGCGGGAGGCUUCGAGGCGGGUGCGCCAGCAUCCGCGGAGCCGCAAGGUGAAAUACCGCUCUGUUCUCGUUUGAUGUCUAACCUCGAACAGUCAUCCUGUUCAGGGACAGUGCCUGGCGGGUAGUUCAACUGGGGCGGUUGCCUCCCAAAGAGUAACGGAGGCGCUCAAAGGUCCGCUCGGCCCGGUUGGCAAUCGGGUGUCGAGUGUAAUCGCACAAGCGGGCUUGACUGCGAGAUCGACGGAUCGAGCAGGGACGAAAGUCGGAGAUAGUGAUCCGGUGCCGGCGCACGGGCGCGGCAUCGCUCAACGGAUAAAAGGUACCCCGGGGAUAACAGGCUGAUCAUUCCCAAGAGUCCAUAUCGACGGGAUGGUUUGGCACCUCGAUGUCGGCUCGUCGCAUCCUGGGGCUGGAGCAGGUCCCAAGGGUUCGGCUGUUCGCCGAUCAAAGCGGCACGCGAGCUGGGUUCAGAACGUCGUGAGACAGUUUGGUCUCUAUCCUCUGCGCUCGUUGGAAUCUUGAGGAGGCCUGCCCAUAGUACGAGAGGACCUGGGUGGACGAACCUCUGGUAUGCCGGUUGUCACGCCAGUGGCACGGCCGGUUGGCUACGUUCGGAAGGGAUAACCGCUGAAAGCAUCUAAGCGGGAAGCCUUCUCCAAGAUAAGGAUUCCAUGCGGCCCCGAGCCGCUGAAGACCCCAUGCAGAACACGUGGUCGAUAGGCCGGACGUGGAAGCCCCGCGAGGGGUGGAGCCGACCGGUACUAAUGGUCGAGAGGCAACCCA
rnacentral:rRNA from 1 species